GCCACUCUGAGCCGAUUGCCAGCAUCUGCUCAGGGGAAGAUAAUGGCAGAACUUGCAGGUUCUGGAGGAAGCUGGGAACAAUGAAAUAGGGCUUGGAGUUCUUCCCCAAUAACUGGACCCUGACAUAAGACAACACUGAGUGAAUGUCUAUUAAAUGCAAAUGAAGACAGAGGCAAUUAUCUGAGGUUUCCAUGGUCCUUUAGAGAAGCAAGAAAUGACCCAGAAUUUGUGUUUUGAGAUACUUUAUUGGCUACCUGGAAGUAGAAUCAGUCACUGACCUACAGAUCCAAAAUUCCUGAUGUGAAAAGAAAUAAGAAAAUGGCCCACAAAACUCUAAAAAUAAUAAACAUUUUCA
ensembl:lncRNA